rnacentral:rRNA from 1 species
CAGCAGCCACGGUAAUACGGAGGGUGCAAGCGUUAAUCGGAAUUACUGGGCGUAAAGCGUGCGUAGGCGGUUCGUUAAGUCUGUUGUGAAAGCCCCGGGCUCAACCUGGGAAUGGCAAUGGAUACUGGCGAGCUAGAGUGUGUCAGAGGAUGGUGGAAUUCCCGGUGUAGCGGUGAAAUGCGUAGAGAUCGGGAGGAACAUCAGUGGCGAAGGCGGCCAUCUGGGACAACACUGACGCUGAGGCGCGAAAGCGUGGGGAGCAAACAGGAUUAGAGACCCCUGUAGUCCCUGUCUCUUAUAC